rnacentral:rRNA from 1 species
UCGGGAAUUUUGGGCAAUUGGGCGAAAGCCUGACGGAGCGACACCGCGUGCAGGACGAAGGCCCUCGGGUUGUAAACUGCUGUCACGCUCUAGGAAUGCCAUGUCGUUAAUAGCGGCAUGGUUGACCAAGGCGAAAGGAAGUGGCGGCUAACUCUGUGCCAGCAGCCGCGGUAAGACAGAGGCCACGAACGUUGUUCGGAAUCACUGGGCAUAAAGCGCACGUAGGCGGCUAGGUCCGUCCAAUGUGAAAGCCCCCGGCUCAACCGUGGAAUUGCAUCGGAUACAGCCUGGCUUGAGGACGGUUGGGGUGAGUGGAACUCCUGGUGGAGCGGUGAAAUGCGUAGAUAUCAGGAGGAACACCGGUGGCGAAAGCGGCUCACUGGACCGUAACUGACGCUGAGGUGCGAAAGCUAGGGGAGCAAACGGGAUUAGAUACCCUCGUAGUCCCUGAGCGGGCUGGCAAGGCGCAU